rnacentral:rRNA from 1 species
AACGCUAGCUACAGGCUUAACACAUGCAAGUCGAGGGGAAACGACAUCGAAAGCUUGCUUUUGAUGGGCGUCGACCGGCGCACGGGUGAGUAACGCGUAUCCAACCUGCCCACCACUUGGGGAUAACCUUGCGAAAGUAAGACUAAUACCCAAUGAUAUCUCUAGAAGACAUCUGAAAGAGAUUAAAGAUUUAUCGGUGAUGGAUGGGGAUGCGUCUGAUUAGCUUGUUGGCGGGGUAACGGCCCACCAAGGCAACGAUCAGUAGGGGUUCUGAGAGGAAGGUCUCCCACAUUGGAACUGAGACACGGUCCAAACUCCUACGGGAGGCAGCAGUGAGGAAUAUUGGUCAAUGGACGAGAGUCUGAACCAGCCAAGUAGCGUGCAGGAAGACGGCCCUAUGGGUUGUAAACUGCUUUUAUAAGGGAAUAAAGUGAGAGUCGUGACUCUUUUUGCAUGUACCUUAUGAAUAAGGACCGGCUAAUUCCGUGCCAGCAGCCGCGGUAAUACGGAAGGUCCGGGCGUUAUCCGGAUUUAUUGGGUUUAAAGGGAGCGUAGGCCGGAGAUUAAGCGUGUUGUGAAAUGUAGACGCUCAACGUCUGCACUGCAGCGCGAACUGGUUUCCUUGAGUACGCACAAAGUGGGCGGAAUUCGUGGUGUAGCGGUGAAAUGCUUAGAUAUCACGAAGAACUCCGAUUG